rnacentral:misc_RNA from 1 species
GCGGCAAAAGCUCAAAUUUGAAAUCUGGCUCCUUCCGGGGUCCGAGUUGUAAUUUGCAGAGGAUGCUUUGGGUGCACCCGCGGCGUAAGUCCCUUGGAACAGGGCGUCAUAGAGGGUGAGAAUCCCGUCUUGAGUCGCUGGCGUGUGCCCGUGCAAAGCUCCUUCGACGAGUCGAGUUGUUUGGGAAUGCAGCUCUAAUUGGGUGGUAAAUUUCAUCUAAAGCUAAAUACUGGCCGGAGACCGAUAGCGAACAAGUAGAGUGAUCGAAAGGUUAAAAGCACCUUGAAAAGGGAGUUAAAUAGCACGUGAAAUUGUUGAAAGGGAAGCGCUUGCGACCAGACUCGGGCGCGGAGGCUCAACGGGCAUGUUUGCCCGUGUACUCCUUCGUGCCCGGGCCAGCAUCAGUUCUGGCGGUUGGUAAAAGGCCCCGGGAAUGUAUCAUCCUCCGGGAUGUCUUAUAGCCCGGGGUGUAAUGCGGCCAGCCGGGACUGAGGAA